CCUACGGGUGGCAGCAGUGGGGGAUAUUGCACAAUGGGAGAGAUCCUGAACCAGCCAAGCCGCGUGAGGGAAGACGGCCCUAUGGUUUGUAAACCUCGUUUGUCGGGGAACAAAACCCGGGACGUGUCCCGGACUGCGUGUAUCCGAAGAAAAAGCAUCGGCUAACUCCGUGCCAGGAGCCGCGGUAAUACGGAGGAUGCGAGCGUUGUCCGGAUUUAUUGGGUUUAAAGGGUGCGUAGGCGGUCCGUUAAGUCAGGGGUAAGAUUGCGGGGCUCAACCCCGUCGAGCCGUGGAAACUGGCAGACUUGAGUUGGCGAGAAGUACGCGGAAUGCGCGGUGUAGCGGGGAAAUGCAUAGAUAUCGCGCAGAACUCCGAUUGCGAAGGCAGCGUACCGGCGCCAGACUGACGCUGAGGCACGAAAGCGUGGGGAUCGAACAGGAUUAGAUACCCGGGUAGUC
rnacentral:rRNA from 1 species